AGGAUGAAAAAAUAAAUAAGCAAAAAAGCUGGACCCUUGAGAUGUUUUCCUAGUUGUUGCUUGUGCAGAGGCAGGGAGACAGACAGAAGGAGGAAGAAGAUAAGACAUGGACCUAGAUGAAGGAUUUAAGAUAAGGAUAUGAAGUACUUUCAGGGAGACAUCGACUUUGAAAAACUGACGAAGAGGGAUUCCUAUCACAGACAAGCAACAAAGAUGGAGGCAAACUAGAGAAGAGAGUUGCAAGGUCACCUGGAAACAAACUGCCUAAGUGUGUGUGUGCUGUGACCAAGCCACCUUUGCAAUCUUGUGUUUUGCACAGAAAGACAGGCCCAUUCAGGAGACAAUCAGAGGAGCUUGAGGCACCUAGUAACUUGCAAAACAAGCCAAAACCCAUGUGUUCUUAAAGCGUACAUCAGCUUCCAUAUGCAACUCAAGGAAUCUUCUUGUUUCUCUUACUUUGGAAUAAUUAAUAAUUUUUGCAUUUCUGAAAUCGCAGUUCUUAUCAAAGUAACACAUCCCAUAAUUUACUCUGAUUUAUCUUACUAAUUCACUUAGCUAUCCCAACUGCUUGGAUGUUGUUGCCCAGCUUCAGAGAGUUGCUGUAACAGAAAACACUGGGGUCCUGUCAGCCAACUUACUCUUGCUUUUUAACUUUAUUUUAUUGUAAUAAAAUUCCCAUUGACUUCUGGUUUAUAUGUGCUGGGAAUAAAGGCUGAAUAAAUCCAGAACAAGGACUGAGGCCACUGACUAGUACAAAGACAAAACCAGACUGAUGGCCAUUUACAAGCGGUUAAACAUAUUACUUGCACUCAAAAAGACCACUAUCUUUUUAUAUAUGCUUCUCUAACAAAUUGCUUUAGCAAUGUUGUGUUCUGCUGUUGCUGGUGCCACAUUGCACCGCAAGCACAAGCUUUUGAAAGUGAUUGUAAAGGGCUCUACUUCUCUAGCACUAUGUUUUACAUCUAAAUAUUGUGGCUGGCUGACAUCUGAUAGGCACUGGCCCACAGCAUUCAGCUUUGUGGCAGGAAGGAAGACCCUGCUCCUCUCACUGCAGCAAUGUGGAGUGGAGGUGUGCAGGGUGGGACAGGCUGGGUGUCAGGAGGAGAGUGGUGUGUGGCAUAGCUCUCCUGCCCUCCCCAGGAGAGGCUACUUCUGCAAAAGUACCCUGUGCUGGGUGCCAUGCCUCUGAGGCAGUACAUAAACAAAUGGAAGUCCUAAAUAACUUAGAAGUUCUAACCACCCUUAGCAUUGUGAAGUGACUUCCUGCUGAGGCCUCUCUGCUGGGCUUGGCAGAGCCAGGUCUGCCUGUGCCAGGGCUGAACCUGGCCCAGCAUUGCUGCACAACCCUUAUGUAAAGUCCCCUUUGCAUUUCCAGAGAGCUGUAAAAAUAGUUGUACAUGACUCAGAGAUGUUUUUGUUUUUUCUGGAGAGUGAAAUGCCUCUGACUUCCAGAGAAACCUGUACCUGCGCAGCAAUCUGGAUGAGCGAAAUUAAUUUUUGCUCCUGAGAAAAUUUUCAAGGACAAAGAGAACUGUUGAAGGCAACAUGGUGCUCAUGUAACUUUUUGUCUCUGCUAAUGUCAACUCUAUAUUCAUUAUAAUCAGUCAGUGUGAAGGUCUCUGUUGAUAUGUAUCAGAGAAACAGCUUACUUCACACCGCUCUGUCCCAUUGGCUUCCAAAUCUCUUUCCUAGUAAUCACAUUUGAAAGGACGAUCAUUUUUGCCUUGGAUUAGUCUAAAAGCCUUUCUGUCAUUAACCGCAUUUUCCUUCUAUGCCGGAGGCAGUCUGAGAUGAAAAGGUGCUGGAUGUUUCCUUUGGUUUGUUUGUUUUGUUCUUUUUACAACACUUUACUCAGGAGGAGGGGGACAUCUCAAACACGGGCAUAGUUGGUCCCCAGUCCCCUUCUGGAAGCACUCCCCUACCCUUGGCACCAUUAUUUUAAUGCAGCCUGGUGUGUUGUCACCCAGACUGGAUUGCAUCAGACGUGCAAAUGAUUUUAAAUGAAAAUGAGCAAAUUAUGGCACAUUUCCCAAGUGUGUAGAGAGGGAUUUAUAUAACCAAUUUUUUAAAAAUGGAGAGAAAGAGAGAUGGUUGGCAAAAAGGAAAAGAAAUAAACCCAAGGGCAAAAAGGAAGUACUUGUAGGACAGGAGAAAACAGUGUUUUAGUCAUCAUACGUGAAGGGCUUUUAGGCACAAUCCAAGAGCACACUGGCACUCAGGAUCAGGGAGGAACCAGUUUCAUAC